rnacentral:tRNA from 1 species
GCCUUCAUGGUGUAAUGGUAGCACACAGCAUGUAUUUGAGAGGUCCAGGUUCGAGUCCUGGUGAGGGCA